GCCAGGCGCUCGCUCCCCAGGCCACCGCGGCUCCCUUGUUGCACUAGGGCCUCCGGACGCGCUCCCCGCGCAGGUCUCUGGAACACUCGGGCCGAACGUAAGCCCGCUUGCACUCACACUGCAGUUCACACCCGCAGGCGCGCUCGCACCCACAUUGCCGCUCACGCGCGCUCACACUCCCCCACGCGCGCUCCACUCCCGCUCCAGCCCCGAGCCCCGCGAAGGCGCAGGCACUGCCGCCGAGAGCGCCAAGGGGCCCCGCGGCCUUCCCAUGGCAGACCUAAGCUUCAUCGAAGAUACGGUCGCCUUCCCCGAGAAGGAAGAGGAUGAGGAGGAAGAGGAGGAGGGUGUGGAGUGGGGCUACGAGGAAGGUGUUGAGUGGGGUCUGGUGUUUCCUGAUGCUAAUGGGGAAUACCAGUCUCCUAUUAACCUAAACUCAAGAGAGGCUAGGUAUGACCCCUCACUGCUGGAUGUCCGCCUCUCCCCAAAUUAUGUGGUCUGCCGAGACUGUGAAGUCACCAAUGAUGGACAUACCAUUCAGGUUAUCCUGAAGUCAAAAUCAGUUCUUUCGGGAGGACCAUUGCCUCAAGGGCAUGAAUUUGAACUGUAUGAAGUGAGAUUUCACUGGGGAAGAGAAAACCAGCGUGGUUCUGAGCACACGGUUAAUUUCAAAGCUUUUCCCAUGGAGCUCCAUCUGAUCCACUGGAACUCCACUCUGUUUGGCAGCAUUGAUGAGGCUGUGGGGAAGCCGCACGGGAUCGCCAUCAUUGCUCUGUUUGUUCAGAUAGGAAAGGAACAUGUUGGCUUGAAGGCUGUGACGGAAAUCCUCCAGGAUAUUCAGUAUAAGGGGAAGUCCAAAACAAUACCUUGCUUUAAUCCUAACACUUUAUUACCAGACCCUCUGCUGCGGGAUUACUGGGUGUAUGAAGGCUCUCUCACCAUCCCACCUUGCAGUGAAGGUGUCACCUGGAUAUUAUUCCGAUACCCUUUAACUAUAUCCCAGCUACAGAUAGAAGAAUUUCGAAGGCUGAGGACGCAUGUUAAGGGGGCAGAACUUGUGGAAGGCUGUGAUGGGAUUUUGGGAGACAACUUUCGGCCCACUCAGCCUCUUAGUGACAGAGUCAUUAGAGCUGCAUUUCAGUAGCCAAAGAGGACAGGAACAAGUCUAUCUUCAUGAGGGACAUUGCCCAGAAGGAGAUCAUUUAGAUUGUUUCCAGUUUCUUUUUGCAGAGGAAGACAAUGGUCCUAUAGAGCCCUUGGAUGAGAAAAGGAAACUUUUGAGCUGCACCUUCAGUUUAUCCUCAAAGCCUGCGUUGUCUUCAUCUAAUCCAGCUUUGAUGGAUGUCUGUGAUGGUUGCCUGUACACUUGCUGAAAUGAAAUAUUAGAAAUGGCUGUAUAUUCCAAAGAAACCCUAUAUUAUACAUCAACGUUACUGCUGCUAGGAUUCAUAUUUGCACGUAGUGUUUAUUGCUUAUGUGUAGAGGGAAUGAAACUAGUUUCCAGAGUUGUUAUUAAUCUGAAUAUAUAUCAUGUGUUAAUAUUGAGAAAGGAAAAAUACAUUCCCAGUGUUAGUAGUUCUUCAUUUCCUGUCUCCAACAGAAAAUUAACUCAUUUUAAAACUAGUGUAAUUCUUGAUAAUAAAUUAAGAGUUUUGAUUAAGAACAGCAAAGAGCUUCAAAAUGCAAAGUGAAUGAUUAGUAAAAUUAUGUCUCAUUUUAUUUUUUCAGCACCCAUUCCACAAUUAAUGUUAGGCUGGAUUGCCAUGGGAAACAUUUUUUUGGUGUUAAUGCAGCAACAUAAUACUUUAUGUAUUACUACAUAGUUAAAGGAUUUAACUGAAUGUAUGAAUCAAAUUAUAUUUAUUUGACCUAUUCAAAGCUGUGGUUUAUAGGAAUUUGAGAAAGGUAUAAGAAAUAGGAUAAAAAGAAGGUCACCACCAUGUACCAGGAAUAGCUUUACUUUCCAUAAAUAGAAAUAUAAAUUUAAUGGUAUCCUAUAUUACUUUAGUGUUGUAUACUUUGUAAGACUUAAAAAUAUUUUAUUCUAUUGAUUCCACUUCUUUAGUAUGUUAAGACAUUUCUUUAAAGAUGACCAACAAUAUCCUUAUUUUAGGUAGCAAAUGUAAGCAUAUACUUAGUUGCAGUUAGAUGUGACAGAAUGAGAUAAUUUAUGUAAAGUAGUAGAGUGCCUGGCACAAAGCAAACAAUAAAUGUUAUUGUUGUUAUAAUUGUAAAAUGAAUGACUUCAAAAACAUAGUCCUAGUUUGGAGGGAUUUUGUGAUGAAGAAUAUCUAAGUUAUAGAAAUAGAAGACAGGUGGGAUAAGUAUAUGUUCAGAGUUUUUAGAUGUGUUGAAUAGAGAUGGUAAUAAUGGAAGCAUUAAUUACAAAUGAAAAUCACACCAGAUAUCCCUGAAAUGGAAACAAAGAAGGUUCAUCGUCUAGUCUUGGGCAGCAAGAGAAAGGACUAAGGCUAUGGCAGUGUGAGGAAAAGUCGGGGCUUGGUAAGGGUUGAGAUCUGUUGGUAGCCCUGGAUCACAUGGGGGCAGCACCAGGCAAUGCCCCUGAAAGCAGAGCGAGGUCCUGGACUUCCCUUGUGUAUAACAGUUCCUAGUGUCCGACAAUGAGGAAAUGGCAAAGCAUGGUUAGAAAACUGUGACAAAAAUUUUUACAUCUGGCACUGUUACCACUCACAUGCCAAACAUUGGCUGCACCGGUGUAGCCUUAUUUGUAAUUAACAUCAAAAGACUAGAUCUGAAGACUUCCAUGAAUGAGAGGCCAUUCAUAGGGCAUUUCUGAAACAAAACACUGUACAGGUAUCAGCCUCUCCACUCCUGAUCUGGUUGGUGCUGAACAGUCAGGGAUUGUUCUUGGACUAGCCUUCUGAUGCUGCUUGCAGUCUCCUUUCAUCUGUCCCUGAAAUACACAAAAUAAACAAAUAUAAUAACAUAGUAAUUAAAUGAAUUUCAGGAUAACGUCUAGUUGUUCGGAUUUCACCUUUCACAGGUGUGUGUGUGUGUGUGUGUGUGUUUAUGUCUGUGUAUUGAAGCAAUUUGAAUUUAUUUACUGUAUGUUUUCUGAGUAAAAGACUGAAAUGAACUACUUGGUUCAGAUCAUGGUUUCCAUUGGUGAGAUUGUUUGGAGGCUUAAUAUUGUUUAUGUGGAAAAUCCUUUAAUUCCACAGUUACCUCAGAUUCAGAAUAUGAAUACUGUUUAUAAUAUGCUUUUGUAGGAAUGAAUUUGAAAGGUAGUUUGUCAGUAAACAAAAGUACAACAACUAAUCUCAAAUCUGUUUUAAUGGUGUGAUAGGAAAGAAAAGUAAAACCUAUGUGAUGGACCCUGUAACUGGGGAAGGAAUCUCCCAAAGAAAAAGUAGGGGAGAAUUAAUGACAAAUGCCAUAGAUCUUGAAAUUUAAUUUAGGGUGUGUUUUGUUUAUGAAACAAUUUAAUAAGGCAACAAACUGAAAUGAUUUUUCAUGUAGCCUAUACACAUGUAAGUGCCUCUGAUUCAUGGUAACUAAUGUACCUGAUGGUGUGUAAAGUAAUACUGUUGUCAGAAAGUUUGCAAUUAAGAUAAUUUGAGUUUACUCUUUUUUUGUUGGUCAGUUUAGCUAAAGGCUUGUCAAUUUUAUUGACCUUUUUGAGGAACCAAAGUGGAUUUUGGGGUUUUCUCUAUUGUGUUUCUAUUCUCUAUGUCAUCAAUCUCUGCUCUAAUCUUAUUAUUUUCUAACUUCUGCUUGCUUUAUAUUUAGUUUGUGUCUUUUCCAGCAUCUUAAGGUGGAAGGUUAGGUUAUUGAUUUGAAUUCUUUUUUGAAUAAAGGCAUUAACAGUUA